rnacentral:rRNA from 1 species
GUGCUUACACAUGCAAGUCGAACGAUGAAGCCCUUCGGGGUGGAUUAGUGGCGAACGGGUGAGUAACACGUGGGCAAUCUGCCCUUCACUCUGGGACAAGCCCUGGAAACGGGGUCUAAUACCGGAUACGACCUGGCAAGGCAUCUUCUCGGGUGGAAAGCUCCGGCGGUGAAGGAUGAGCCCGCGGCCUAUCAGCUUGUUGGUGGGGUAAUGGCCUACCAAGGCGACGACGGGUAGCCGGCCUGAGAGGGCGACCGGCCACACUGGGACUGAGACACGGCCCAGACUCCUACGGGAGGCAGCAGUGGGGAAUAUUGCACAAUGGGCGCAAGCCUGAUGCAGCGACGCCGCGUGAGGGAUGACGGCCUUCGGGUUGUAAACCUCUUUCAGCAGGGAAGAAGCGCAAGUGACGGUACCUGCAGAAGAAGCGCCGGCUAACUACGUGCCAGCAGCCGCGGUAAUACGUAGGGCGCAAGCGUUGUCCGGAAUUAUUGGGCGUAAAGAGCUCGUAGGCGGCUUGUCCCGUCGGGUGUGAAAGCCCGGGGCUUAACCCCGGGUCUGC